rnacentral:rRNA from 1 species
UACAGAGGGUGCGAACGUUGUUCGGAAUUACUGGGCAUAAAGCGCGCGUAGGCGGCGACGUAAGUGUAGGGUGAAAUCCCACGGCUCACCCGUGUGAAUUGCCCCGCAUACUGCGUUGCUCGAGUGUGGUAGGGGAGAGCGGAACUCCUGGUGGAGCGGUGAAAUGCGUAGAUAUCAGGAGGAACACCGGUGGCGAAGGCGGCUCUCUGGUCCACAACUGACGCUGAAGCGCGAAAGCUAGGGUAGCGAACGGGAUUAGAUACCCCGGUAGUCCUAGCCGUAAACGAUGGGCACUAACUUGAGGCCUCCCUGUGGGGUCUCAGGUGAAGCAAAUGUGAUAAGUGCCCCGCCUGGGGAGUAUGGUCGCAAGGCUAAA